UACGAAGGGGACUAGCGUUGUUCGGAAUCACUGGGCGUAAAGCGCACGUAGGCGGAUUCGUAAGUCAGGGGUGAAAUCCCGGGGCUCAACCUCGGAACUGCCUUUGAUACUGCGGGUCUUGAGGACUGGAGAGGAGACUGGAAUUUACGGUGUAGCGGUGAAAUGCGUAGAUAUCGUAAGGAAGACCAGUGGCGAAGGCGGGUCUCUGGACAGUUCCUGACGCUGAGGCACGAAGGCCAGGGGAGCAAACGGG
rnacentral:rRNA from 1 species